rnacentral:misc_RNA from 1 species
CGCGGUGGGGACGAUCAGCGCGCCCAGGUCCAUGCCGAUGGAGGCGACGGCGCGGAUGCUCAUCACGUCGUGCAUGAUCGCCAUCGCGAGCCACCACACGCCGGUCAGGCCGGCGAUGAAAACG